UUAUUCUAGUGAAGGUGUGUGGAGUCCUGUAUUACCACAUGAUGACAUCACAAGGUGGAACAGAGUGUUUUCAGUUUAAGAGAAGAACUAAAUAUGCAGGUUUGUUUGUGUGUUAAACAUGUGUGAAUGAAACAAAAACCACAGCUCCAGGUCUGUUUGCGACGAGGAAACGACAUGACAACACUGAUCAAACGUUUUACCUUGAUUAUUUUGCAUUUAUUUAUUUAUUUUUUCACUCUUUCUGCUGCGUUGUCGUAUUUUGUGCACAGGGGAGAGAUAGUCCAGAGCCAGACGAGGACCUCAUGAGUUUGAGGAGUUGUCCGUCUAGACAGUGUGAUGACAGGACACACACCGCUGUUUAAUGCUGCGGACUCCUCCCUGAGCUUCCACAACACACCACCUGCCCUCCGCUGCCAGGGAAAGCUGCUUCAAAUUUCACGUUUCUUCCCAACCCCAAAGACCUGCCCGAGGUUUGACGCGAACGCCAGAAGACAGGAAGCAGGAGAUCUCAGGAUAAGAUAAAGAGUCGGAGCAGACGCCGCGGUGGAGCAAAUACACCAC